UAGAACGAAAAGACUCGAUGGAGGUCCAGAGCCAGGCAGCUGCAGUUGUACACCAGCACCCCCAGCUCCUUCCUCUGCGGGGGUCAUAUUGUAGAAAGAGAUUUCACACAGAGGAGCAAAGAGGAAGAGGAGGUGUUAGUAAGAGGUUUUCUGUGGUUACCUUGGAGAAUGAUCUCCAGUCCAUGUCUGCACUCCCCAUGUAGAAAUGCCUGCGGUCCACGACCAUGAAGGAAGACUGGAGUCGUCCUCUGGUUCCACACUGGUGACACCACUUCCACUGACUGCUUUGCCUGGUUCAAGAGAGUGCGGAUGCCCACCGAGAGAGAGAGGUGACCUCUGAACUCCACAGGGAGGAGAACAUCCUGUCGGUUAGUGAAGUAUCUUCCUGUUGAGUGGGACUAAAGCAUGACAGAAGGACUUCUCACCGACAGUUCCUGCUGCAGUUCUCCUCUGUGAUUCCAUCCUCAUCGUCCCACCAGAUAUCCACCGACGAGAAGAUCAGAACCAGCAGCACGGCAAAGCAGCAGAGGAGAGCAAAGAUGGCAACACACUUCUGUUGGCGUAGGAGAUGGACGCAGAGUAGCCCUGCUGUUGGACAGCACUGUAGCUGUGGCCCAUCACCGGGGAGACACUGGACAGCACCUCGUC